AACGCACCUUGCGCUCCUUGGUAUUCCGAGGAGCAUGCCUGUUUGAGUGUCAUGAAAUUCUCAACUGCUUCAGCUUUAUAGCUGAAGUGAAGUUGGAUUUGGGGGAUGAAUGCUGGCGUGACUUUGGUUGCUUGUCGGCUCCUCUUGAAUAGAUGAGCUAUAUCCAGUGGAUCAUGGUGAAGUAGCACCGAUAUGAUAAUUAUCUAUGUUGGAUGUGAAAGCCGUUGAGCAGAGAGUCUCUUAUGAGAACCUCCCACAGGAAAGCUGUGUCAUGGGAUAGGCCUGUUGACAAUACAAAUGACAAAUUUGACCUCAAAUCAGGUAGGACUACCCGCUGAACUUAA
rnacentral:misc_RNA from 1 species